rnacentral:lncRNA from 1 species
UCCUUGCUUGUUCAUAAGUGAAUUUGGGCAUUCUUGAGGUAAGAUAGCUAAAUAUUUGAUGCUUAUGUAAUUGAACUCUUGGGAGCGUGGAAUGUGAUUAUGUGAUAAAAAUUGGGGGAUAUUGGGCAUGUUACUAUGUGUUGAGCCAAUUUUGAUUUAUGAAUAAGGGAAGAACUACUUUUAGUAUUGAUUGGAGAAGUUGUGGUGAUUAAUUGUGUUAUAACUUGCUUGCUUUGUGUUGAUGAGUUAAACAUGAGUUAAAUUUCAAGCUAAAGCAUGCUAAUGUGUAGUAAGAUGAUGUAAUUGAGUUCCUAUGGUUUGUAUUUGACAAACGUAUGAAUUAUAUGUUAAGUUGAAACAAAGGGGCUUUGCUGUCAGUUUUCGGCUUGACAGGGCAGUAUGUUUCGGGGUACUUUUGAUGAUGUUUUCGUAGUCCAAAUAACUUGAAAUUUUUACUGUAAUAACUUCAUCAUGUGUAGUCGUUCUCUGCAAAAUUUCAGCUAAAUCCGAGACCAAUAGACAUGUCAAACUAUUUUCUGAAAUGUACUGCACGGAGCAGCAGAGUUCAGCGGCAGAUUCUGUCUUUGGUCAUAUAACUUCUUAUCCACUUGAGAUAUUGUGUUUUUGUAAAUUUCUGAGAAAUAUAGACGUUAAUAGCUUUCUAAAGAAGUGAGGUUUAUAUUUUUCUUUGAAGUGGUUGAUUUUAUAUAAUUUUUUCAAAGUUAGGAUUCAAAUGGGUAUGUUUCUUAAACUUGUGAUUGGUAGUUAAUGGAGAUCCUAAACUACUAAACUCAAAUUAAGGUUUUAUUGUUCUAAUUACCUAUUAAGGAUUAUUGAUUACUAAGCUUGUUAAUAUGAUAGUUGAUGGAUAUAAUUAUGUUUAUAUGAUUAAUUACUUUGGGUAUUUUAUGUUUUUACAUGUAUGGUUAGUUGUAAACUGAUCUCUAUGAAAUGGAUUUGUUUACUUUAAACUUUCUCAAGUAGAGGAAUUCCUAUAAGAUAGGAAUAUUAGUUUAUACUUUCUUAAAGUUCAUAAGAGUUAGUAUAUUGGUUAGUUUAGUUGAUUCAACCCUAGCUCUGCAGAAGAUUAAAAGUUUAUUGGGAUGUUAUUUAUAGCUAAUUCUUCUUAUCUAGUUAUCCAAUCUUAUUUUAGAAUCUUGCUAUUAUGAAGGUGACAAUAGCAAUGAUAGAUAAGUGAGCAAGAGUUCCUACACCGUUAAGCGUAUCAGGUGGGCAUUACUUUCAUAUAUAUCAAAUGAGUUUAAAUGUUACGUUCAAGCAAGUUAUUUCAUGACUAAAUUAAUUGAAGUUAUUUCAAAUAUUGUCUUGCCAUAAAAUGUUUAAAUUUCAGUAUGAUAUCUAUCUGAUGUGACUUUAAUCAUGUAAUCGAAUUCGGGUCUUGAGCAGUUGAUAGCUAUCCUGCCAGGGCUAGUGUACACCAGUGACCGUGAGUCAUCUAGCGGGUUGGCCGGUCAAGUGACCGUGAGAGGUGGCCACCUCUCCGGCACACAGUUCCAGAUAUGAUAGAUUACAAGAGAACUUAGACUGCAGUCGAACUUUAAGAAUCACAACUGAAUUUAGUAAGCUUGGGCCUUUUAGCGAAAAACCCCUUGCUGUACUACUUAUGAUGGCAUGACAAUUUAAAUCUUUACGAAGCAUGUUAUAUUUCAUAGUAGGCAUAUGUGCCCACUGAGUAUUUUUAUACUCAGCCCUGCAUGUAUUUCUAAAUGUGCAGGUUGAGCAGCUGAUGGAAUGGAAUGAUGUUGAGCGGGUGUUCUUUUGACAUUUCAAGAAAUGUAACCUUGAGUAUACAUCUUCAUAUGUAUAUCUCACACGUUUUUCCGCUGCAAAACACUUUGAUUAGAAUAACUCUAUGUUAUGAAGAACGCGAACACGUGUUAUUGGAUAACCCACCUUAAUCAGUUCUCCUUCAUGUGUAUGUUUUAUAAGUAUCCAAAUGAUCAUAUAUGAUCCUAGCAUCUUAUCUAUGAGUGACAUUCUCAUAUACCUUAAUGUUAAGUAAUUGUCCAUUUUCAUUUCUUAUUGUUCACCCCAAGUCAUAACCCCGGCUAAAUUUGUCAUUAAGGGUUGCGGGC